rnacentral:rRNA from 1 species
UACGGGGGGGCAAGCGUUGUUCGGAAUUAUUGGGCGUAAAGGGCUCGUAGGCGGUUCGUCACGUCGGGAGUGAAAACUCGGAGCUUAACCCCGGGUCUGCAUUCGAUACGGGCUGGCUAGAGUGUGGUAGGGGAGAUCGGAAUUCCUGGUGUAGCGGUGAAAUGCGCAGAUAUCAGGAGGAACACCGGUGGCGAAGGCGGAUCUCUGGGCCAUUACUGACGCUGAGGAGCGAAAGCGUGGGGAGCGAACAGG